rnacentral:rRNA from 1 species
UACAGAGGGUGCAAGCGUUAAUCGGAAUUACUGGGCGUAAGCGUGCGUAGACGGUUACAUAAGUCGGGUGUGAAAGCCCCGGGCUCAACCUGGGAAUUGCAUUCGAGACUGCGUAGCUAGGGUGCGGAAGAGGGAAGCGGAAUUUCCGGUGUAGCGGUGAAAUGCGUAGAUAUCGGAAGGAACACCAGUGGCGAAAGCGGCUUCCUGGUCCAGCACCGACGUUCAGGCACGAAAGCGUGGGGAGCAAACAGG